AUGAGAUUUGGGAGGGGCAGGGGUGGAAUGAUAUGGUUUGGCUGUGUCCCCACCCAAAUCUCAACUUGAAUUGUAUUUCCCAAAAUUCCCACGUGUUGUGGGAAGGACCCAGCGGGAGGUAACUGAAUCAGUGAGGCUGGUCUUCCCCAUGCUAUUCUCGUGAUAGCGAAUACGUUUCAUGAGAUCUGAUGGGUUUAUCAGGGGUUUCUGCUUUUGCUUCCUCCUUAUUCUCUGUUGCCACUGCCAAGUCAGAAGUGCCUUUUGCCCUCCACUAUGAUUGUGAGACCUUCCCCAGCUACAUGGACGAUUCUGAAAAGUUCCAAAACAAGCAUAUCCAUUCACCCAACCAGCCACUUAUCCAAACCCACAUCUACAUCAUCUCCUGACUCACCCACCGACACUCAACAAUUAUUUGUUGAAAACUUAUCAUGUAUCAGGAAUACUGCUAUGGUGCUAGAUAUCUAGGGUAGAGAAAAGAAUCAGAUCCUACUCUAGGGUGACCAAUUGUCUUGGGUUGCCCAGGACUGGGGAAUGGGUAGUGAGGAGAGGUUCCUGGGAUAUGACGCUUUUAUGCUAAAGCCAGGAAAGCGCUAGGCAAACCAGAAUGAAUUGGCCACUCUAUCCUUCUCUGAAAGCACUUAUGAUCAAACAAAAAUAGACAAUGUUUAUUCAUCACUAACUCCAGUAUACAAAAGAAUACCUAGCACUUAAUGAGGAUGAAAUAUCUGUUGACUGACCAACCACAUGAAUAACUGAGAAAAGUGCUGUAGGAAAGGAUGCUUUGGGAAGGCAAACUUAGUCAUUCAAUGAAUACUUAUCAAAGGCCUACUAUGUGACAGACACAGUGCUAAUCCCAAGAGAUACAAUGAUGAAUAAAACCAGGCAUGUUCUCUGACCUUAAGGGACUUACAGUAUCAUAAGAAAGAUAGACAUUUAAAUCAUCUCAACAAGGACAAUGGACAUCAUGGAAUCACACAGCAGGAGAACCUCGCCUAGUCUACCGAUCAGAUACUCCAUGCAGUUGUCACCUCCUCUAUGAAGCCUCUCCUGCCCCUUCCAAGUAGAACUGUCCAUUCCAUCUGUGGCAGAGUCUGGCUACAUGUUCAUCAAACCCUGUUUCAAAUAUCCUCCUCUGCAUGUCAUUACACUGUAUCUCCCAGCCCCCUUGCAUCUACAUGAGGCCGCAUGACCACAUGCUGGGUCACUUCUGGGCCAAAAUGGUAUUGGAGAGUCCAUCUUCUCCACUCUGGCUCUCUUUCCAUGCACCAGAUAGGUGAUUUUUAGUGAUCUUUAGUGGAAGAUGAAACAGGUCUGUAUCUCUAAAUGACUUUGUGGAGUGGAGCUUCCCUUCCCAAGCUGACCCACAAUAAACUCUGAUGUGAGCAAGAAAUACAU
rnacentral:lncRNA from 1 species